rnacentral:rRNA from 1 species
UACGAAGGUCCCAAGCGUUAUCCGGAUUUAUUGGGUUUAAAGGGUGCGUAGGCGGGUUAUUAAGUCAGUGGUGAAAGCCUGCAGCUUAACUGCAGAAUUGCCAUUGAUACUGAUGAUCUUGAGUAUGAUUGAGGUGGGCGGAAUGUGUCAAUGUAGCGGUGAAAUGCUUAGAUAUGACACAGAACACCGAUUGCGAAGGCAGCUCACUAAGUCAUAACUGACGCUGAUGCACGAAAGCGUGGGGAGCAA